UACUAAUAAUGGAAUACUGUGAUGCUAAU
rnacentral:piRNA from 1 species